CUGGCAAGGUGGGAUUGUGCGUACAGAGGAAUAUGUGGAGAGACUUCAAGGCAACACAGACAGGAUGAUGACUCACUUGAAGAAAGGUCUGAAGCCACCAUCACCAAGAGCCUUGCACUGCCGGAGGAGCUAUCUUUCAGAUGAGAUGUC